GCUCUUUCAUUUUCCUGCACAAAAAUUUCUAUUGACGGGUUACUUUUGUAAGAGACUGUUUUAUUUCAGAAAGGGAAACAAGGGGAGAAAUCUGCAGAUACUGACUGGAAAGUCACUAAAACUACACACAGCAUCACUAUGUUUCAGGACUAUACCUACAGGCAGCUAUAACUCGCACAGGGAAGAGAGAAGCUUGAAAGAAGAAAUUAGAAACAAGUUUACACGGGUGUCCUCUAUGGCAUUAGAUCAAUAUCUAAGUGCCUUAGGGAAUUCAUUUCAAGAAAACAUUUUCUUGGGGGAGAACCAGGAUGUCUGCCUGGAAGGCUUUUGUCAACAUCACUGUCUCCCUGAAGGCAGAAAAUGAAAUUGAGCAGUUCAAUCAGUGAGCCAUCAUUUCAAGGUUCUGUAAAGAAAACUGAUUAUUUUCUUGUGAAAAACUUGCAAAGAAAGCAUUUAAUUUUACUGUUCAUCAGUGCUUCCUACAUAAUUGUCAAAAAUAUAAAUAUGGUCUUAAAUUCCAGGUUUUGAUUUGGAUCCAGUUGUGCAAAUGCUAUUAAAAAGAAGAGAGGAAAAUAUAUAACUAGAAGUAUGGAUUCCCUAUUCCCUCAUGUGCUGAUAUCAAUAACCCACAGGCAUAUCUAUGACAUUAUAAUAAAAUAUUCAUGUUCUCUCUACUAAGAAGUCCC
rnacentral:lncRNA from 1 species